ensembl:lincRNA
UAUAGGAGGCUCCCGGCAAUCUUAGCCUGAAGCCAUGAAGGAAGACACAGUGUGAAGGCAAGUACAGGCUGUCCUCUGGCAGCUGAGGAUCAGGACAGGAUGUGGAGUGAACAUCCAUAUCAAAGCUUUAUUGCUUGGAUUGGAAAAAAAAUUCCUAUCUGUAGGUCAGCCUUAAAAUACACCAUUUCAUAAAAUAUUGUCUUUCCCAUAUUUUGAGCCCAUGCAAUUUGUGCUACCUGAGGGGACAGUAUUGUGUCCUUGAUUUGGUGAGAUUAGUAGCUUUCUUAUCUUAUUGACAGCUACAGAACUCAGAAACAGAAGCUGCAUAUUAAGCAAAUUUAUAUCUUUCUUGUUAUAUUAUUGUGUAUAAGAAAUAGAGAUGGCCGGGUGCGGUGGCUCACGCCUGUAAUGUCAGCAUUUUGGGAGGCGGAGGCAGACGGAUCACAAGGUCAGGAGUUUGAGACCAGCCUGGCCAACAUGGUGAAACCCUGUCUCUACUAAAAAUACAAAAGGCAAUAAAAGGUUCUAUGUGGACUUUGAAGGUCGUCUCUAUCAAUUUGAGGUUGGGAAGAACAGUUUUGUUGACAUCCUUUAGCUGUGUUACAAGUACAAUUUUGUUUUUUACUCAGGCAAAAGAAAAUGUGUGUGUGUGUUAUAUACAGUCAGCCCUCUUUAUCUGUGGGUCCUGCAUCCUUGCUUUCUACCAACCUCAGAUCAAAAAAUAUUCCAGAAAAAAAAGGAUGGUUGCAUCUGUACUGAGGCACCAUGGCCCGGCACUGCCACGUUUUCCAAGGAACCUGCCGGAGCUUCUGCGGAAGCUGCUCCUCGGGCGAUGGAGUCCCUUCGCUGGUAGGCCCUUCUUCAGUCACCACAGGAUGCCUGCCAUUCAUGAACAGGAAGGAGAGGACGGGCUUUGAAUAAAAAACAGGUAAGUUUCCAAACUACUUUUUUUCAUCAAGAUUUCAAUCUUGGCUGAGCAAAGUGGCUCACGCCUGUAAUCUCAGCAUUUUGGGAGGCCAAGGCGGGCAGAUCAUGAGGUCAGGAGAUAGAGACCAUCCUGGCCAACAUCAUCUCCUCAGCACCCAGCUCAGUCAUUUAGACAAAGAAAUAUGUAAGAUGGCCGAGCACGGUUGCUCACGCCUGUAAUCCCAGCACUUUGGGAGGCUGAGGUGGGCGGAUCACGAGGUCAGGAGGUCAGGAGAUCGAGACAGUCCUGGCUAACACGGUGAAACCCCAUCUACUAACUAAAAAAUACAAAAAAAAAAAAAAUUAGCUGGGCAUGGUGGCAGGCACCUCUAGUCCCAGCUACUCGGGAGGCUGAGGCAGGAGAAUGACGUGAAGCCAGGAGGCGGAGCUUGCAGUGAGCUGAGAUUGUGCUACUGCACUCCAGCCUAGGCAACAGAGCGAGACUCCUUCUACAAAAAAAAAAAAGAAAAGAAAAGAAAGAAAAAGAAAACAUGUAAGAAACAGUUGCCAAAAUAAUUGAAUACAGGAUCUUCAACUGAGAUUAUUUUCUUUGUUAGGAUCCAGGAAAUAUUUGUGAGGCCAUUUGGACUUCAGUGUGAAAUGGUGUUAAAAGAUGGAAGUCAUUUAUUCAAGAAGUAAACAUCUGCCACCUGGACUGUGCUCAGACAUUUCAUUGAUUUUGUUUAAUAAACAUUUUCUGGCUUUGGGAGGUGUCUCUCUUGGUAGAACACAGUGUCAAAGAUGGACAAGGUGGACACAUAGUCCAUUAUUUGGUAUUGUUUGUGUAUGGGAGCAGACCACAAAUUAAUGUUUGGAGAACAAUUUUGUCAUAACACACUGUUGAGGCUCAGUUGUACAGAACUGGAAAAGUCUUUCAGCUUGGCACAUGUCCUGAUUCAGCCUUUGUUUAACAUAUAUUCCAAUCCGGAUUCUAUCUUCACUGGCUACAAAGACCACCUGAUACGUGCACCACGACACAGGAGCUGCUGGAGAGGGGGUAGUGUUAUCACCUCAAACUCACGGCCAUAUUUUUCAAAAGCCAGCUUAGAGAGAGGUGUACUGAUAGCUGCAUAGAGAACAUGCAGUCCAUCCAUUCUUCCCAGUGAUGUACAUUUCUCAAUCAGUAACCACGUGGUAUACCAGCCUUGAGUGUCACAUCUCCCAACCAUACCAAAUGGAUCACCUAACUGGAGGUGGGGGGGGGGGCCCUCAGAAAUGAGAUUUCGUAUUUACUGUAAAAUUGCAUUAUUUUUCUUUUGAGGUGGAGUCUCACUCUGUUGCCUGGGCUGGAGUGCAAUGGUGUGAUCACUGCUCACUGCAACCUCCGCCUCCUGGGUUCAAGCAGUUCUCCUGCCUCAGCCUCCCAAGUAGCUGCAAUUACAGGCGCAUGCCACCACUCCCAGCAAAUUUUUAUAUUUUUAGUGGAGACAGGGUUUCACCAUGUUGACCAGGCUGGUGUCAAACUCCUCACCUCAGGUGAUCUGCCCACCUUGGCCUCCCAAAGUUCUGGGAUUAAAGGUACGAGCCACCGCAACUGGCUGAGAAUCUUUUUAUUUGCUGAUUUGUCUGUUGUGUAUUUUCUUUGUUCAGAUGUCUCUUCAGAUCUUUUUCUCACUUUUAAAUUGUUUUUUAAUUGUUAAGAAUUUUCUGUCUAGUUUAGAUAUAAGCCCUUUAUCAGACAUGUGUUUUGCAAAUAUUUUCUCCUAGUCUGUGGCUUGUAUUCUGUCUCUUAACACUCAUUUUAUUUUUACUUUUGGAACUAAAGAAGAAGAAUGGUCAGCUUUCCGUUAUUCUUGUAACAGUAAUGGCAGAACCAAGUCUGCUAAUGCUACAUUGAGCAAAGAAAGUCACCUGGUGAAGUCCAACAUUAAUGAAAUGGGGUAGUACAUGCAGGCGGCGUUGGGGGUGGGGAGGGAACAAAUGCUUCUUGAGAGUAAUAUAAUCUGCCAUACCAUCCAGGAACCUACAAUGGCUAUCUAUUACCUUAUUCUCUGGUUUGUUUAAUGUUCGAAUCUUUCCGAAAGAUCCUUCAACCUUUCUGGAAGAAUCUAAUCUGAUAACACCAUCAAAAACACAUUAAUUCUUUUGGCAUAAUUUAAAUUGUAAGACAUCAUUCACAUUUAUCAAUGUUACAUAUAUAAGAACUCACCCACCAUAUUCCUCCUUGAGGAAUUACAGCAUGUAAUUCUAUAACCAUUUUUAUAAUCGUCUAACAAUUUUAUAAUGGAUUGGUUGCUUACUAUCAAUUUUUUAAAAGUCAUGGCUUCUCCAGUCAUUUCUUGCUUAUCAAAAUUAUUUCAUGAGAUGGGUCUCUCCUUGUAUAUUUGAAAAUGAGGUUUGCUUCCUUCUACUUAAAAAACAACUUGAACAUACCUGUUUGGAUCACAUGGUCUUGUCCUGAUAACUUGGAAGAGGUUGCUUCAGCAUUGUUCUUAUUGUUGCGGUGGUGAUUAUUAACAUUGUUUCAUAUUCCGCUUAAAAAAUUAAAAUUUUACACGAGACCAAUGUCUUUUCAAUUCCAGUACAGUCUUCAGAAGUAACUAAUGCUAUUGGCUUUGUGCAUUGUAAUUUCAGACCAUUGUAUAUGUCUUUAGUUAUAUGUACAGUAUACACACAUAUGUGUCAUAUUAUUCCAUUUUUUCUAGCAUUAAACAUUGCUGUGGAAAACUCUCAGAAAAAUAUUUAUUUGAACAGAACUUUUUCUUUUCUCAGAUGUACCCUCCUUAGGAAUCUUUCUUUGAUCCUUGAAGUUUGGUAACAACUUUAAAUAUGUGUAUCCCAGCUGGGAGCAGCGGCUCACACCUGUAAUUUCAGCACUUUGGGAGGCCGAGGAGGGUGGAUCACCUGAGGUCAGGAGUUUGCCUGGCCAACAUGGUGAAACCCCGUCUUUACUGAAAAUACAAAAAGUUAGCCAGGUGUGGUGACUGGCACCUGUAAUCCCAGCUACAUGGGAGGCUGAGGCA